CGGCGCGUAUCCAAGUCUGGUUAAGGAGCCGGUCUGAUAAACCGGUGCGGAAACGUACGUAGGUUCAAAUCCUACCGCGUCGAC
rnacentral:tRNA from 1 species